UUAAACAUUUUUCAUAGACACACACACACACACACACCCACACACACACACAGACCUAGCUAAUAGAUGUAGCUAACAGACCCAGCUAACGGACGAAGCUAACACACCUAGCUCGCACACUUACUGACGGAGCUAACACGCGCACACGAGCACACACAUAUAUACACACCUAGCUAACAGUAGCUAACGGACAUAGCUAACACACACACAGAGAGAGAGCGAGAGACACGCACGCUCUAACGCCCACGGUUUACUGUACUGUAAAAACGACAGAAACGUUUUAAGGGGACUCUAACCACUAGUGGGAAACAUGCAGGGACUGAUGUCGUGUCAAGAAGUGUGUGAAACGGAUGAUGUUCUGGCGGUAGCAGCAGUGGACCGGUUGGACAGGAUCAUUCUGGCUGUUUCUGGAGUUAGUCAGCUCCAUGUUAACACCUGACACACCUCUUUAAGGUGGUCUUUUUUUUCUACAACUAAUAACAAUCAGAAUUUUUACAAUUAUUGCUUAUGUUGUGCUGGUACUUUUAGAGGAAAUGCCAAAGUCGGUUAUUUCUGACCAGUGAAGCCACUGAGGCUGGUGAGCAGCCUCUGCAUCUGGACAAAGACAAGAGCAUCCUCCCACUACACUAAUGAAACUCCACCUUGGACCCAGCACAUCUCAGGGUGUAGUCAGCAGCCUGAUAUUUGAAUGUUUGGUUUUGGUUGGCUGAGCUAUGGAGUCACAGGAGUGCCAAAUCAAAAUAUAAAUAAAUAAAUGUGGAAAUAUAAAGAGAAAUAAAUAAAUAAAUGUGGAAAAAUAAAGAGAAAUAAAUAAAUAAAUGUGGAAAAAUAAAGAGAAAUAAAUAAAUAAAUAAAUAAA